rnacentral:lncRNA from 1 species
CCCCCCGGCUCUCUCCCUCCCUCUCCUCCUCCCUCCCCGGCUCCCUCCUCCUCUACUGUGGUCCUCCCUCCGAUCCCUUCUCUCUUCGAUCCGCCUCGCAUCCUAUUCGCGGGCGCGGGCCCCCGCGCCCUCUCCCUAGUGCUCGCAUCCUAUUCGCGGGCGCGGGGGCAGGCGUGAGCGGGCGCAGGUGCGAGCGGGUGCGGGCGAGCGGGCUCGGGCGCGGGCACGGGCGGCGCGCGGGAGGGAGCCGGGGCGCGAGCGGGUGCCCGGCGCGGGUCGGUCGCAGGGCCCCGGGCGCGGGUCGGACGCAGGGCACGGGCGCGGGUCGGACGCAGAGGGCAGCACGUGCGAGCGCGGCACGGGCGGGCAGCUCUCCCUUCCCCCCUUCCCCGACCCCUCUCUGGAGAAACAUAAGUUAACAAACAACUGAGACUGAUUGUUUUUAGUGUAAUCCUUUCCUCAGUCUCUAUCUCUUGCACUCCAAGUGUUUGUGAAUUGCCUCUGCAGUGGUGAAGUAGCUGUGGUCUGAGCUUAUUAUCUGGAGGAUUAAUGCUUUUAUCUUUCAUAGCUGAAUCGGUGGCGUCAGCGAUCAUCGAGGCGUGCCCGGCGGCUGGCGGCAUGUAGGAAAAUCCUCCUAGAUUUGGAGAAAUUCAGAAGCUGGCUUAUCAAAAACCUCGAAAUUACUACGUAAAUGGAUCGAUCGGGGAUCGAGCACUUCCUUCGAUCUCUUCUCCGCAUUCGUUUGGGGCCUCGAAGGGAGCUUCACACGUAGAAGCGUUUGCUUAUN